rnacentral:rRNA from 1 species
AUGGCCGAUUCCACCGCGCACCCGCCGCCGGCGGUGGAUCAGCGAGUCCAGCGGCUGGCUACCCGCGCCUCCAUCGCAGUCGCCGCUGCGGCGACGCUCUUCCUCGUGUGCCUCGUCCGGCACGCCUCCACCUCCUGCUUCCCCGCGUCCCACACCAUCUCCCCCUCUCCCUUCCCCCGCGACUCCUGCGACGCCGCCUCCCGCCGCGUCCUCCCCCCGGACAGCCGGCUCGCUAAGCUCCGCUCAUCCUCUCGCUGGCGCCGCCGCUCCGCCGCGCUGGCUUCCUCAGUAUUCGCCCCGCUCCGUGGCCUCCGCCUCCUGGCCGGCUCCUCCCGCGUCCUCUGCCUCGCCGCCGGAGCCGGCAACGCCGUCGACGCACUCCACGCAGCGGGGGUAAGCGAAGUGACCGGGAUCGACCUCGUGGACUUCCCGCCGCUCGUCCGUCGCGCAGACCCCCAUCGCCUCCCAUUCUCUGACGGCGCCUUCGAUCUCAUCUUUUCCGACGACCCGGCGGGGAUCUCCGGCGCGCUCUUCCCGGCUCGCGUCGCCGCGUAG